AUUUGUAUUGCUUAUGUCAAAAAUAUGUACAAUCUAAACAAAAACUCAAGGAUACUUUACAAGUUGUGCAACUUAGCACAAUGGAACUGGAUAAGUCCAUUCUGCAUCUUGAUUUCUUGUGACGAUCUAACCUCCCCUAGGACUUAUUUCAGGGUUUAGUGGACUGCCUGUCCAAUUCUCGCCAGGAUUCGAUCACUCUUAACAAAUAAAAUAAGAUAUAACCUCAAGAAUAAGUGAAAUAACAGUUCACAAACUUGGAAUGUGUACUUACAUUCAUAUCUUUCCCACACAUACGCAAAUUAUUAAAUGUAACGCUUCCCUGAUUUCUAUAUCUGAUUACUUGUUUGGAAAUCUCACUAAGUUUUUAACUCAUUCCACGACAUUUGUUUUUCUUACCGGGGAUACAAGUAAGGUGUGAGACUGGUACAGGCUAAUAUAGUUUAAUUUUUGAAAAUUUGCAAAUGUACUCGCGCUAGUGCUCGGUUAGGGUUGAAUGUAUCUCGAAUUCACAACUUUUGUUAUAUUUGGGAUUGUAUGAAUGUAUGGGAAAGAUAUGAAUGUAAGUACACGUUCCAAGUUUGGGAUCUGUUAUUUCACUUAUUCUUGAGGUUAUAUAUUAUUUUAUUUGUUAAGAGUGAUCGAGUUCUGGUGAGAGUUGGGCAGGCGGUCCGCCAAAUUUUGGGGUACGCCCUAGGGGGAGGUGGGGUCGUCACAUUUCUGCUCAAAGCUUGAGUACUAAUAAUGUAACUUAAAUCCGUAUUUUCUAUUCCUAUCAAACAAAAGGAGCACAUUCGAAACAAAAUACUCAGUGCUUGUAUAUUUUCCAGCAACGUAGCCACCCAGUUGUUCCUGUUCGCAUUCCUUUGCAGUUGAUUCAGCAGCUCCUUACUGGUUGUUUCAACAGUAAUCACGGUCCAUUCCUGUUGCAAGGCUUUAAUUAAUGCCACAGGGUUUUCAAUUAACAGUUAUUCAUUUGACGUUCAUACAAGGGGAAAAAAGAAAUCAUAGGUGUUAAGUUUAUAAAUAUGUGAAAUUAAUUUGAGAAAAUAUCUAAGGACGAAGAGAUAAUAAAGGUGUUUUUUUUUUGUGUUUGUAUAAAAUUUGAUUGUAACUUACUAUAGAAUUUGUAAAAAAAAAAAAAAAAAACUUUUGUGUAUUUAGGAUUUGGAAAAUUUAAAAACUUUCUAUUUUUUCUAUUUGGAAGUGUGUUUUUAAGGAAUUUAUAUUAGACAAAUUUUAUCUACACUAAUCAGAAAAACACCCCAAAAUCUUCAAAAUACACAAAAUAUUAAAAGCGUACACACUAUCUUUCUCUUCUAUCACUACCCUCCCGCCUCAUCCUGCUGCGGCCACCUUCCUACCGUUGUUGGUGCCGAUCAUCCAUUUUUUCUCCCCUUCUUCCUUCUUUUCUCGCCACCCUUCUCGCUGACCUUGCCCUCCGCCUCCUCUCGCAAACCUUAUCUCGUCCUACUCCCUUCCUCUUUCCUCUCUAUUCUAAACCUAAUGAUGUAUACUCGGGUGAGAGAGAAAGGGUGGCAGGGGGAAGGGGAAAGAGGAGAAGGGGAAGAGGAGAGGAAGAGGUAGAAAAAAGGGAAAGAGUGAGGAGAAGAGGGAGGAAGAAAGAAAAAAAAAAGGAAGGGUGAGGUGGCAGCAGCGACAAUAAUGGAGGUUGAUGAUGGUGGGUGGAGAUGGAGAUUGAUGAGAUAGAAGUAACAACGAUGAAAGUGAAACCAGUAAGGAAGUGU
rnacentral:lncRNA from 1 species